UACAGAGGGGGCAAGCGUUGUUCGGAAUUACUGGGCGUAAAGGGCGCGUAGGCGGCCCUCUAAGUCAGACGUGAAAUCCCCCGGCUUAACCUGGGAACUGCGUCUGAUACUGGACGGCUUGAGUAUGGGAGAGGAACGUAGAAUUCCAGGUGUAGCGGUGAAAUGCGUAGAUAUCUGGAGGAAUACCGGUGGCGAAGGCGGCGUUCUGGACCAUUACUGACACUGAGGCACGAAAGCGUGGGGAGCAAACAGG
rnacentral:rRNA from 1 species